CCCCGACUCGCUCUGUUGGUAGAGCAUGAGACUCGUGAACUCAGGGUAGUGGGUUCGCGACCCCCGUCGGGCG
rnacentral:tRNA from 1 species